rnacentral:piRNA from 1 species
GCAUAGCCUUGAUUGUUUUGGAU